UUUGCCUCCACCAUCCUCCCUCUCUCAUUCUUUCUCUUUGCUGUUUCGCAAAAGGCGACCGACGUGAAAAUACACCGUUUCCAGUUGGUGUUUGGGCACACUGAGGCCACUGGACUGGAGUUCAUCUUUAGUUGUGGUUUGUAGUGGUAUCUUUAAGGUGUCUUUUUAUUUCGCUGGAAGAAUGGAUACGACCGAGGCCUUGGGAAGAAGAUCAAGCGGGUAGCAACCUGUAGCCGCAAUGAUCUCGGGGUCCUUCCUCCCAUCAGAGUCCUCCUCACCCCCCCGCCUGCCCAGUGUUCAGACUACCUGUUCAUCAGGCUACAGCUGAACAGUAGUCUGCACAUUGGUUAGGCUGGGCUGGGACGCACACACCUCCAGCAAUUGUGGGUCACCAAAUCUCCACUUGGGAUAGUUUAUCCCAACAGUGCCAAAUACAGUGUCUUCAUUUUUACACAUUCCUGUGGUGCAGUGUCAUCUUUUCUUAGCUAGCCACAUCCCUGUGUGUCCAGUAAAUACAGUGCUGGAACAGAAAUUCCUCUCACCUCCUCAUCUUUAUACCAGGACAGCGAUUCAGCAGUCAGGACAAACCAGUACUCCUUGGAACCUCCCUUCAUGAUGCUGAUGUUGAGGGUUAACCAGCCUUUCCUGAUCACCUACACAGUGAGGAGAAGAUGUGGGAGAGAUGAAAAGGGUGGGAGGGAGAAAGAGGUACCAGGAGGGUGGAGGAAAAAUAGCUUUAUCAAUCAGGCGUACAUGAGCUGACAUGAGGGCCCCAUUGUUGUACCAUUAAUACUUUGGAUGUGACGGACACUAAUAAAAGUUACCUUGCCUGCUAGAUCACUGUAAA